UUUUUCUUUCUUUUUUUUUUUUUUUUUUGACAGGAUGGGCUGGGGUUGGGGGAGGAGGAAGCAAGACUUAAGCAGAGAAGGCAAGCUCCUUUCUGUUCAUCUAACUCAAACUGACGAGUCAUUAAGCUGACUCCAAUCAGCAGGAUCCCCUGGUCGCCUGACUCAGGCCUCCCCAAUCAGAGGUAGAGUCUGCGGUGGACAGACAGACAGGUCUGGAGAGGCUGACCCAAGUGACCACCUGGUAAUUACUUCAACAGCAGAGCGACUCAUACAGCCAGCAAUCCACUUUGUUGUGAUCUGUAGAUCCUGCCUGUGGUGUUGGAUCUAACAGCUUCUUCCCUGACCCAAGAUUAUGAAGGAUUUCUCCUGUGUUCUCUUCUAAAAAUUUUACAUUUAGGUAUAUAAUCCAUUUUGAGCUAAUUCUUUUAAAUAGUGCAAAGUAUGGAUUGAAGUUCUUUUUUUUUUUUUUGCAGAUACAUAUUUAAUUUUUCCAGCACCAUUUGUUGAAAAGACUAAUGUUCUUGCCUGAAUAGCCUUUGCAUUGUUGUUGAAAAUCAUGUUCACACAUGUACACAUUCCACUGAACUAUUUGCCUCUUUGUGAAAAUACUACUAUUUUGAUUAAUAUAGAUUUAUAGGGAGUCUUAAAAUCAUAUCUUAAAAAGAUAGUGGAAGUUAUUUAACCUUACUCUUGUUUUUAGAAAUUGUUUUGGAUAAUCUAGAUCUUUUGCGUUUCCAUAUAAAUUUUAUAAUCAGUUUGGCAAUUUAUUUAAAAUAUUCUUCUGGGAUUUUGAUGGACAUUAUGCUGAAUCGAUGGAUCGCUUUGGGGAGAACUGACAUCUUAACAAUAUUGAGUCAUCUAACAUAUGAUCAUGGAAAUUGCUCCAGUUAUUUAGAUCUUUCACAUCUUGAAGCAGUGUUUUACAGUUUUCAGUGUAUAGAUAGUUAAUAGAUUUAAAAAUAUGAUCCCUAAAUAUUCAAUGUUUUUGAUGCUAUUGGAAUUUUAAAAAAUUAAUUUCUGUUCUGAGGAAGGAAAAUAAUAAAAGAUUAAACAAGAAAAAUAAAAGAAUCAAAAUAAAAGAUAAAUCAUUGACAAAUAUAAAAAAAUAACAAAAAUAAAAUACAAAA
rnacentral:lncRNA from 1 species